UACGUAGGUGACAAGCGUUGUCCGGAUUUACUGGGCGUAAAGAGCGCGCAGGCGGUCGUUCAAGUCGAGUGUGAAAGCCCCCGGCUCAACUGGGGAGGGUCAUUCGAUACUGAUCGACUCGAAGGCAGGAGAGGGUAGUGGGAUUCCCGGUGUAGUGGUGAAAUGCGUAGAUAUCUGGAGGAACACCGGUGGCGAAGGCGGCAUCCUGGACCAACACUGACGCUGAGUGAGCGAAAGCCAGGGGAGCAAACGGG
rnacentral:rRNA from 1 species